AACGAACGCUGGCGGCAGGCCUAACACAUGCAAGUCGAACGCUGUAGCAAUACAGAGUGGCAGACGGGUGAGUAACGCGUGGGAACGUGCCCUUCGGUCCGGAAUAACCCAGGGAAACUUGAGCUAAUACCGGAUACGUGCGAGAGCAGAAAGAUUUAUCGCCGAAGGAUCGGCCCGCGUCCGAUUAGCUAGUUGGUGAGGUAAAAGCUCACCAAGGCGACGAUCGGUAGCUGGUCUGAGAGGAUGAUCAGCCACACUGGGACUGAGACACGGCCCAGACUCCUACGGGAGGCAGCAGUGGGGAAUAUUGGACAAUGGGCGAAAGCCUGAUCCAGCCAUGCCGCGUGAGUGAUGAAGGCCCUAGGGUUGUAAAGCUCUUUCGCCAGGGACGAUAAUGACGGUACCUGGAUAAGAAGCCCCGGCUAACUUCGUGCCAGCCGCCG
rnacentral:rRNA from 1 species